AGCCCCUGCUCUGGGCUGGGGACAAUGUGAUCUCUAGGCUCCCUGAUGGGACAGAAGUCCUGUGCCUUGGCACACGGGCAGUGCCCAGGCUUUGACCCCUUCCUUGGGACUCCUGUGGUACGUUCCCAUUUAACUCAAGGCUCCUUGUGAUUGGACCAAGCAGUGUGUUCAUAAGACAGAAGGACCAAAGCUUGUGACAGCAGAGAUGGGCAGUGUCAAGGGGGCCUGAGGAUAGGGAAGGUUUUGUGUGGCCUGCUACCCUGAAAAUGGGGCCAGGUGCCUGAGGGUGUUGCCAGGACAGCACUCCUGACUGGCAGGGUCUGUCCAGACCUGUGGUCCCGCCCAACUUGCCCCAUCCUCUCACACAGGUGUUCCAGAGUGAGGUGGAGAAAAUCAUCCAGUGCUUGGUGUGCGGCCACGAGGAGCGCAUCCCAUCGGGAAGCAGGAUGCUGAUCCUGCCCCUGGCUUCCCACACCCAGCUCUGUGGCUUGGAGGGGGCUGGGCAGAAACCUGGCAAGCCAGCCAAUCCGGACACCGAGAUGCUGAGUUUCUCUCUAAUCCAGAAGUUUGAUGAUGAAGACAAUCGGUUCUUCUGUGAGCCCUGUCAUGCCAAGACUCCCGCCUCGGAGGAGACACGCUUCCUGCGGCUCCCGAAGGUCCUGAUUCUGCAAGUCAGGGAGCUGACGUUUGAAAAUGGGAGGUUUCACAAAAUUCAGAAGCCUAUCAACAUUGCCCAGGUGCUGAAACUGCACACCAGCCCCAGAGAACUGACAUUGCCUAAGUGUAAAGCUUCCCACAGUGGCACAAUCACCCCCAACCCGGAGCAGAGAGUCUACCACCUCUACGCCGUGUGCUGCCACUCGGGAGACUGCAGUGGGGGCCACUACACAGCUCUGGCCCAGCCCCCCGGCCAGGCGGAGUGGUUCCGCUUCAAUGACCAGCAGGUGCACUGUGUGGGGCCGGAAUUCCCUCUGCACCACACGUUCAGGUCUGAGACCCCGUACCUACUGCUGUAUCGCUGUCAGGAAACUGGAGACAGGCAGGAGCCAGAGGCACCUGGGCCUGACAAUGGGGAUAUGAGAACCAUGACAGAUGUAGCUGUUCCAAAGGAGAAGGUGCCUUGUCCAGGAGUGGAGGGAGAGACUCUCAAGACAGACUCUGCCACAGUCUGCUGGGGAGGACACAGCCAGAGCCUCUCUCUUCUCCAGGACGACGAGCCCAUCUGCCACAGACAGAGUCCUGCCAAGAAGUGCAGGAGGGACGUGGAGCCUGGCCUUGGGAACAAGGGCAGAGCCUCAGAGCAUGUGGAUGAGGAGGGCCCUAAAGCGCCUCCACCAGGGGAGCAGGGGGAGGCCCGAGGCCUGCCCUGUGGCCCCCAGUGUAGCCCCGAAGAGGAACUCCCUGCCAUGGGAAUGAGGAGCUCGGCAGCUGAAGACCAAGCCCUGUCCCACCCUGCGCAGGGCCUAGCACAGCCCGGAAAGACACGCCUCAGGAGCAAAGAUGGAGGAGCAGGGGCUGCCAGAGAAGGAGUCCGGCUCCUCGGAGACAGAGAAGCGGAAGCCAUGGCCACCAGAGAAAGAGGAGUGGAGAUUGCCAAAGAAGGGGGCCAGCUCCUCAGAGACGGGGGAUUGGAGGCUGUGGCCUCCAGAGAAGGAGGAGGGGAGGCCGUGGCUGCCAGAGAAGGGGGCUGGNNNNNNNNNNGUGGCCACCAGAGAAGGAGGAGCAGAGGCCGUGGCCACCAGAGAAGGAAGAGGGGAGGCUGUGGCCACCAGAGAAGGAGGAGCAGAGGCCAUCGCCACCAGAGAAGGCUGCCCCUCAGAGAUGGAGGAAGGGAGGUGCCAGGCUUCAAGCCCAGAGCAGAGACCUGGAGGCUUGAGAGGUGGGGAGAGCCUGAUGUGGCCACAGGCGAGGCAACAGCAGAAGGGUUGCUGGCCGCCGUCCUUGGGGGGGUGUCCACCUGGCCUCUGCCUCCCUCGGAGCAAGAUCAGCGGUGGGAAAGCCCCAGGGGAGAGACAGCCCUGGCAGUGCCACACCACACCAGGCUCAGCGCCCAGCCAGCGCCCAUGGAGGCUUUGGUCCCUGGAAAGAGAUGAAGAGUGACCGGAUGGCAUUCCCUCCCUGCCUCGGGAGUCCCCAGUCUAGAGUGCCAGGAUGGCAUUCACGCCCUGCCUCGGGAGUCCCCAGUCUAGAGUGCCAGGAUGGCAUUCACGCCCUGCCUCGGGAGUCCCCAGUCUAGAGUGACCGGAUGGCAUUCACGCCCUGCCUCAGGAGUCCCCAGUCUGUCCCAUCCCAGAGCCCUUCCCUGGCCCUUCCAGCCGGAGAGCACGACCCUGAAAGCAGAGGGUGUUUGGGGCUUGGAUUCCAGUUGGAUUCCGAGGGGGAAGCUCUGGGAGGAGCAG
rnacentral:lncRNA from 1 species